rnacentral:rRNA from 1 species
UACAGAGGGGGCCAGCGUUAUUCGGAAUUAUUGGGCGUAAAGGGCGCGUAGGCGGCCUUGCAAGUGACGGGUGAAAUCCCUCGGCUUAACCGAGGAACUGCCUGUCAAACUGCGUGGCUUGAGACCAGGAGAGGUGAGUGGAAUUCCCAGUGUAGCGGUGAAAUGCGUAGAUAUUGGGAGGAACACCAGUGGCGAAGGCGGCUCACUGGACUGGUACUGACGCUGAUGCGCGAAAGCGUGGGGAGCAAACAGG